AACCCUUGUCCUUUAGUUACCAGCACGUUAUGGUGGGCACUCUAAGGAGACUGCCGGUGACAAACCGGAGGAAGGUGGGGAUGACGUCAAGUCAUCAUGGCCCUUACGGCCUGGGCUACACACGUGCUACAAUGGUCGGUACAAAGGGUUGCCAAGCCGCGAGGUGGAGCUAAUCCCAUAAAACCGAUCGUAGUCCGGAUCGCAGUCUGCAACUCGACUGCGUGAAGUCGGAAUCGCUAGUAAUCGUGAAUCAGAAUGUCACGGUGAAUACGUUCCCGGCCUU
rnacentral:rRNA from 1 species